UACGGGGGGGCGGAAGCGUUGUUCGGAAUUACUGGGCGUAAAGGCUCGUAGGUGGCCAACUAAGUCAGACGUGAAAUCCCUCGGCUUAACCGGGGGAACUGCGUCUGAUACUGGAUGGCUUGAGUUUGGGAGAGGGACGCGGAAUUCCAGGUGUAGCGGUGAAAUGCGUAGAUAUCUGGAGGGACACCGGUGGCGAAGGCGGCCCCCUGGUUGGAUACUGACGCUGAGACGCGAAAGCGUGGGGAGCAAACAGG
rnacentral:rRNA from 1 species